rnacentral:rRNA from 1 species
GUCCCUGUUGGUCGGUCCGCCUUCUUGGUGUGUACUUACUCGACGGGGACUUACCUCCUGGUGAGCUGUGAUGUCCUUUACUGGGUGUCAUAGGGAACCAGGACGUUUACUUUGAAAAAAUUAGAGUGUUUAAAGCAGGCUCGCGCUUGAAUACAUUAGCAUGGAAUAAUGAAAUAGGAC